rnacentral:lncRNA from 1 species
UAAUAAUACAAUGACUAUCAGAUUUUUAUUGAUUUCAAAAUUGGAUAAGAUUUUGUGCUAACAUUUUCAUCUAUAAAAAACAACAGAAUUAAUUAUUAGGCAUAUUAUAAAUGUGCCUCAUACUGUACCAAUAUUGCAGACAAAAAUCUAUGCAAUAUACAGAAGUAUCAAUUGCAUUUAUAAUAAAUAACAAUAUUCAAUAUAUCAUCUCAGAUAGAAAAACAGCACUUCAAAUUAUUGCUGGGAAUGAAAUUGAACACAGUAGUGUGUCUAAUCUGAUACAUAUGGGACAGGGGUUUGUCAGAUUUCAAAGAAUUAUCAGAUUAUUGAAUGUUCAAUGAAAAAAAUGGAAUU